rnacentral:rRNA from 1 species
GGGGAAUAUUGGACAAUGGGCGAAAGCCUGAUCCAGCCAUGCCGCGUGUGUGAAGAAGGUCUUCGGAUUGUAAAGCACUUUAAGUUGGGAGGAAGGGCAGUAAGUUAAUACCUUGCUGUUUUGACGUUACCAACAGAAUAAGCACCGGCUAACUUCGUGCCAGCAGCCGCGGUAAUACGAAGGGUGCAAGCGUUGCUCGGAAUUACUGGGCGUAAAGGGUCCGCAGGUGGCCUCGUAAGUUGAAUGUGAAAUCUCAGGGCUUAACCCUGAAACUGCAUCCAAUACUGCGAGGCUUGAGUCCAAGAGAGGUUGGCGGAAUUCCCGGUGGAGCGGUGAAAUGCGUAGAUAUCGGGAGGAACACCAGUGGCGAAGGCGGCCAACUGGCUUGGAACUGACACUCAGGGACGAAAGCGUGGGUAGCGAACC